rnacentral:tRNA from 1 species
GGUUAUUAAAAAAGAUGUUUUGAAAACAUCUAUUAGAAAAUAUUUCUAAUAACCU